UUCACCGUCACAAUACGCUUUCUUCUCAUGUCAUAAUACGUUUUUACGAUUUGUAAAGACAAACUCAUAAUAUAAACGAGGUGGUACUAAUUUUGGGGUCCGUUGGUACGUCACGUGUGUUUCUUCGUGCGUUGAACGGCUGGGCCUUCGUCCCGCCUGGCCCUUUCCGCGAAAAAUACGUGCCCGAUCCGGACUUCACGUUUCGUUCGUGGGCUGGGCUGACUCACGGUCACGGAGGAAGCAGUUCUGUAAAAAGAAAUACAGCAGCACGGGCUCUCCUCACCUCAAAAAAAAAAAAGCACGGGCUCUCCUCCUCGAUGCCUACGACAACGGCGCGCCGGCGCCACCACCUCGCGCGGCCGCGCGGCCGGUAUUCUUCCCCGGCCGUAUCCCGAGCCACCACGCGCCUCCUCCCCUGCCGCUCCACCGCCAUGCCGGGACGGCGUACUGGGCCUUGCCGGACGCCGAGGACCAGCGGGUCAAUGCCGCCGCCCACUCCGGCCUCCACCACACCAGCCCGAACCAUUGCUCAUGGGCGCGCGGGGAUGGAGAACCCCGACGGCCACGCGGAAGCUGACGCGGGGGCAGGUCUGGGCAGCGACCCGUCCAGGCUCCCCCACCGUCGCCCUUGGACGUCGUGGAGGCGGGUCUGGGCAGCGACCCGGCCGAGGUUCUCCCACCGCCACCCCCGCAUCUCCCGGGGGGCGCCCCUUACGACAGGGCGCAGACAGCCAGCGGAUCCGCGUACGGGACCUCCGGCGAGGCAACGGGCUACCAGGCCGCGGGGGCCACGGAGGACGGCGCCGCCGCCGUCGAGAUGGCCGAUCCCAUGGUUCCCUAGCAGUCGUAUGAGGAUGUGGAAGAGGCUAGGUUAAUUAUGGGAUGUUGUCACCUUGGAUUGCUUAGACGUCGAUGCUUGGACCGCACUUAUUGAAGAGACGGAGAGGAUUGCUGAGAGCGACAUAUUAAAAAUACGGAAAGUGUAUGAUGCAUUCCGUGCGGAGUUCCCUCUGUGCUUUGGCUAUUGGAAGAAAUAUGCAGAUCAUGAAGGCCGUCUAGAUGGUGUCAAUAAAGUUUUUGAGGUGUAUGAACGGGCAGUUCUUGCAGUUACUUAUUCAGUGGACAUAUGGUGUAAUUAUUGUCAGUUUGCGAUCUCAACAUACAAUGACCCAGAUGUCAUCACA